GAACUUAUUGUUGAGGGUCUUGAUCUGCUCGCGCUCCUCGGCCCGCACCCGCUGGAUGGUGGGGUCGAUUUGCAGGUUGAGGGGAGUCAGGAGACUCUGGUUGACAGUGACCUCUUGGAUACCUCCAGGAGGGCAGACAGGAAAGCCAGGGCCACCGAACCCAAAGCCACCACCAGCUCCACCGCCGAAACCAAAUCCACUACCGGCACCACCUCCAAAGCCAUAGCCGCCUCCAGCACCAGCACCAAACCGGUUCCUGAAGCUGCCACCACUAGUGCUGAUGGAUAUCCUCUUGGAGCCCCCCAGGCUGUAGAGGCUCCGGCUGCCAAAGCCCCCACUGAGCCCUUUGCUCCCUGCCCGGAAGGAGGAUGAGCUGCCCCC
rnacentral:lncRNA from 1 species